rnacentral:rRNA from 1 species
GAUGAACGCCAGCGGCAGGCCUAAUACAUGCAAGUCGAACGGGUGGUCGCAAGACCACUAGUGGCGCACGGGUGCGUAACGCGUAACCAACCUGCCCCGAUCUGGGGGAUAGCCCGCCGAAAGGCGGAUUAAUACCGCAUAUACCCGCAGCCUGGCAUCAGGCAACGGGGAAAGAUUUAUUGGAUCGGGAUGGGGUUGCGUGACAUUAGCUAGUUGGCGGGGUAAGGGCCCACCAAGGCGACGAUGUCUAGGGGACCUGAGAGGGUGAUCCCCCACACUGGCACUGAGAUACGGGCCAGACUCCUACGGGAGGCAGCAGUAGGGAAUAUUGGGCAAUGGGCGAGAGCCUGACCCAGCCAUGCCGCGUGCCGGAUGAAGGCCUUCUGGGUUGUAAACGGCUUUUCUCAGGGAAGAAAAAGACCUUGCGAGGUACACUGACGGUACCUGAGGAAUAAGCACCGGCUAACUCCGUG